UAUAAACGCAAUCGGCCAUUUCGAAUGUGGAUUUUGCAAGAACAGUGUUUGUUCACAGUGGUCAAGCGCUAAAUAUCAGUUAAAAAGCCGUUACUUUUUAGGUUUUUUUAUUUUUGCGUGAAUAUUUCGGUCAUGGGUGUGGUACUUAACCUGAACCGUCUACAAGCACUACGCUUGAUAGACCGGCGUUUGAGGACGAUGGGUCCUUGGACGAUCGUCAUCUUAGAUAUAUUAUGGACAAAGGUGGUGUAUAUUUAUUGAGAAGAGUUAUUCCAGUUAAUAAUGAAGAAGGAGUAAUGUCUAGGUUGAACCUGACAUCCCAGUCGCCGGGCCGCGAAUCUCGCGCCUCCAUGAGCGCAAGCGCAAGCGUUAGCGGGAGCGGACGAAUGACUCCGGGACGACGUGCCACGCCCCUUCGCGCCGCACGUAAGCGCACUCUGCUCGAUGAGAGCGAGGAAAGGAGCCUUCAGGACUUCAGUGUUACCUCCAGUGCUAAGGGAGACCUGGAAGUCGCCGAAGCCUGCCCCGAUGGUAGCUUCGUCAAGAUUCGGAACAAGGGAAAGAAGGAACUAAGCCUCGGCGGCUACCAAAUAUUGCGUAAAGCCGGUGACCAAGAGACCCUAUUCAAGUUCCACCGUACCGUGAAGUUGGAGCCUGGUGCAAUCACCACCGUUUGGUCUGCAGACGUUGGCGCUGACCACGAACCACCCAAGGCCAUUGUCAUGAAGGGACAGAAGUGGUUCGUCGUGUUUCAUUCACAUUCACCACCGUGUUGCUCAAUACUGAACAAGAGGAGAUAGCCGUGUCCGAGAGACAGCGGCGGCAAAUAAGCACAAGCGCGCAAAGACACCGUGAGCUCGCACAUAAGUUUCCCCGACGUGAAGGAUUGGGUGAAAUUCGUGAGGGUGAAGAGAAUUGCCGUAUAAUGUAAACAGCCAUGAGCAAAUAAUUAUUACGUUAGGUGCCUCAUCAUUAGGUGUUUUAGAUAUUAAACUUGUGUGUUAAUAGAAUUGCCAUAAGUCAGAAGCUCUAUGAAUUUAAUUCAAUAUUUACAAAGCUUCGGAAGCUUUUUGGUCCGAAUGUGCUCAUUAUCUUAGAAGUUUCCUAAAUUGGCUUAAAAUACUGAAAAAGAAAAUAAAUAAAAAUAUUCCUACUUUCUCCCUCCGCCUCUUACUUCGUCACUUUAUUUAUAAUAUGAUAAGCAACUAUUAAGCCGACAUUUGGAUGGAAUAUCUCCCAAGCUUUGUGAGUGAUGGAAAAUUUAACGGUGUUCUAUUUGCACAAGCGACGUGACAUUGCCACGGUAGUUGGUUUCACAAGUUUUUCAUUGCUUUGUAGACACAAUAUGCCUUAUUUCAUAUGAAUAUAAAUUUUUCUGCAAUUUAUUAAACCACCUAUCGUGCAGUUAUCGUGCCUUAUUAACAAUCAAAGCUGACUAAAUAAUACAUCACUUGGUUUAAAUUUCCACUUAUAUUAUUGAGACGCAAGAGUGCACUGCCAUACAUACUUGCUUCCACACAUUCAGUGAACAAAGUACAAAGUUGGAGUUCACAUAGCGAGGCAAUCCGUAGAUGUAAUCUACUAAAUUAAUAUUACAUUGAAUAGAUUAUUUUUUUAGUAUUAAGUCUAACGUGACCGUUUCAUAGGUUGUCAAUUUAGAUUAUAAGUAUUUCACGUUAUUAAUAUUUUUAUAUAACAGAAAACAGGUGCAAGUCGCAAAUUAAGAUACAGAAAAUAUACAAAAUUUUAAGGUCUUUGUGGGGUGUGGUUUAACUUUUCAAAAAUAAUUAAUGUACCGUAAGAAUAUGUUAAGAAAUUACGUACUUUCAUUUUUACGUUAAGAGGACAGAAUCUUAUUGUUUUGUAUUGAAUCAUUGGCUAAGAAGAUUUCAUUGAAAAAAAUUGUGUAAUGUGCAAAUUACUUUAUAAAAAUAAAUAUAUAUUUAGUUUUAAUCAA